GUAGGUGGCAAGCGUUGUCCGGAAUUAUUGGGCGUAAAUCGCGCGCAGGCGGGGUUUUUAAGUCUGAUGUGAAAGCCCACGGGCUCAACCGUGGAGGGUCAUUGGAAACUGGAGAACUUGAGUACAGAAGAGGAAAGCGGAAUUCCACGUGUAGCGGUGAAAUGCGUAGAGAUGUGGAGGAACACCAGUGGCGAAGGCGGCUUUCUGGUCUGUAACUGACGCUGAGGCGCGAAAGCGUGGGGAGCAAACAGGAUUAGAUACCCUGGUAGUCCACGCCGUAAACGAUGAGUGCUAAGUGUUAGGGGGUUUCCGCCCCUUAGUGCUGCAGCUAACGCAUUAAGCACUCCGCCUGGGGAGUACGGCCGCAAGGCUG
rnacentral:rRNA from 1 species